AAGCUCUUUACUCCGGGUUGUUACAAGCUGUUCUGAAAGCUCUGAGUACACUUUUCAGAAACAGCUGUUCUGAGUCAAGGUUGUUUCUGUUCCACAGCAGUGAUUUAGCUCAGACUAACUUUUCUCCCCACAAUUAUGAGCUCAUUGCAGUCAUCCUGUGGGACCUGUAUCUGGCAGGGGAAAGUCUGUUGGAAGAGCAAGAAGAGGAUAUGGAACAAGCCUGCAGCCCUGGAUGACAGGUCUCCCCAGAGAUCCCUCCCCCAGCUGGAGCCAGCCAAGCCUAGCCUUUCUGCUGACAGUCAUUCCUGCUUCCUGCUUCACCCAUGUGGCUCCUGACAUGCUGUUUGAAAAGAUCUGUAAGAACGUUGCAAGUAGAGUCAUCUCCAAGAUACCCAGGAGGUAUCAGCCAUACACUGUUGCAGACACCGCUGACAAGGAACGAGCUUCUUUCUGCUUUGGUCCUAGAUACGUGGAAGAGUUUUCAGCUUCCUAGUUUGCAUUAAAUUUCCAGAAUACAUCAUGCACCUCUUCUUUAGUUUCACCCAUGGAAGCACCAGAUGAAGAACCUUCCCAGAGAACAAUGUGUGUGACAUGUCCAUCCAUUCUGCCUUCUCCUAAGAGUUUGGACAGCUAAUCCGUUCACCGUCUAAAGGAGGGAAGGUAGAGGGUUAGAUUCUGCUGCUGGAUCUUUUUUAUUAAACAAUUGUCAUAUAACUGUGGUUCUCAUGGAUAAAACCACUCUCUCAAAAUUAGGAAAAAUCAAAAUCUGUCUUUCAUGAAUUUACUUUCUCUUUCCACAUAUAAUACUCUCAGUUGUCAGAACCACCAGGCCUCUAGAUAUGAAGAUUUUCAGUGAGAUUAAAUAAUGUAAUGGAAGGGGUUAGGGAAUCUGUCGGCCCCCCAACCCCACCCCACCCAACCUUGUCACUUUUGACGCUAUGUGUUCACAGCUGCCUUGAGGGCCUACACUACGGAUACCGCAUGUCCUUAAGGUUACUUUUAUGCUUUUAUCUUUUUGACCUUUUGAUACAAGACAGGAAUUUAUCUUUAAUAUUUUUAAAGAAUAUUAAAAAUCAUUCUUUUAGUACUUCUCACCUUUCUUUCCUUCUUCUCUUCUCUUUUUAAACAGCUUUGUUGAGAUAUAAUUCAAAUGCCAUACAAUUCACCCAUUUAAAAUAUAUAAUUGGGAGGUUAAAGUAUACAAUUGAGAGGUUUUUAGUAUAUCUGCAGAUAUGUGCAACAAUCACCACAUAUCUGCAACCACCACCACUCAAUUUUAGAACAUUUUUAUCACCUCAAAAAGAAACUUUGUACCCUUUAAAUACAACCCCCCAUCCCUCACUCCAACUUCCAGCCCUAUGCAACCAAGUUAACUUUAAUCCAUCCCUAUAGAUUGCCUAUUUUCAACAUUAUGUGAAUAGAAUCAUAUGAUAUGUGGCCUUUUGUGACUUUCUCCUUUCACAUCAUAUAGUGCUUUUUACAGUUGAUUCAUGUUGUAGCAUGCAUCAGUAUUAGAUUUCAUUAGCCAAAUAAUCCCAUUAUAUAAAUAUAUGAUAUUUUGUUUAUCCAUUUAUCAGUUAAUAAACAUUUGGGCUGUUUCCAUCUUUCAGCAAUUAUGAACAAUGUUACUUUCAACAUUUGGGUACAUGUUUGUGUGUCAAUGUAUGUUUUCAUUUAUCUCAGGCAUAUACCUAGGAGUAAAAUUGAUAUAUUAUAUAACACCAUGUUUGAUAAAUUGACUUUUUAAUAGCUAGACUGUUUUCCAAAGUGGUUGCACCAUUUUACAUUCUGACCAGCAGCGUAAGAAGGUUCUGAUUUCUCCACAUCCUCACCAAAACUUUUUGUAAUCUGACUUGUUCAUUCCAGCUGUCCUAAUGAUUGUGAAGGAGUGUCUCGUUGUGAUUUUGAUUUGCUGUUCCUGAAUGAUGACUAAUUAAAAUGGGCAUCUGUUUAUGUGCUUAUUUACCAUUUCUUAUUUCUUUUUGGAGAAACAGCUUUCUAUUCAGAUGCUUUGACCAUUUUUAGCUGGGUUACUUGCUUUUUCAUUACUGAUUUGUAAGAGCUCAUUAUAUAUUUUGGAUACAAGUCCAUUAUUAGAUAUCUGAUUUGAAAAAAAAUUCUCCAAUUCUGUAGGUUUUAUUUUUCAGUUUCUUGACAAUAUGCUUUGAAGGACUAAGUUUUUAAUAUUGAUGAAGUUCAAUUUAUCUAUUUUUGAUGCUCAUGUUUUUGGUGUCAUAUCUAAGAAUCAUUUACCAAAUUCAAUGUCAUGUGUAUUUAGCCCUGUUUUCUACUAAUAGCUCUAGAGUUUUAGCUCCCACAUUUAGUUCUUGAUUGAUUUUAGUUUUUGUAUAGUAUGCAAAGUAAGGGUCCAUCUUCAUUCUUUUUAUUUUGCAUGUGACUAUCCCGUUGUCCCAUUACUAUGUUGAAAAGGCUAGUCUUUUCCAAAUAAUAGUCUUGCUGCCCUUGUUGAAAAUCAAUUGACCGUUCAUAUACGGAUUUAUUUUUGGACUCUCAAUUCUAUUCCACGUAUCUAUAUGUCUAUCUUUACACCAGUUAAAGAUAGACAUUUAAUUUAAUUAUUUAAAUUAAAAUAGUACAUCAGAAUUUUUUCUUUCCUUUUCUUUUCUUUUUUUUUUUUUGAGGCUGAGUUUUGCUCUUGUUGCCCAGGCUGGAGUGCAAUGGUGCAAUCUCGGCUCACCACAACCUCUGCCCACUGGGUUCAAGCAAUUUUCUUGCCUCAGCCUCCCAAGUAGUUGGGAUUACAGGCAUGUGCCACCACAUCUGGCUAAUUUUGUAUUUUUAGUAGAGAUGGGGUUUCUCCACGUUGGUCAGGCUGGUCUCAAACUCCCAACCUCAGGUGAUUUGCCCACCUCGGCCUCCGAAAGUGCCAGAAAAUAUUUUCUUAAUGCAAAUACUUUCUUCGUGCAUACUUUCUUGAUUGUCAUUGCUUAGUAGAAAGUUUUGAAAUCAGAAAGCCUGAGUCCUCCCACAUCAUUCUUUUUUAGGAUUGUUUUAGCUAUUCCAGGUCCCUUGUCAAGUCCAUUUGAAUUUAAAAUCACCUUUUAAAUUUUUGCAAAGAAGUUAACUGGGAUUCUGAUAGUGAUUAUGUCAAAAGUUGUAGAAUGUUUGGAAAAGUAUUGCCAUCUUAACAAGGUUAAUUCUUCUAACCCAUGUAUUUUAUUUAAAUUUUUAUUGACUUUUAAAUAAUGUUUUUGUAUUAUUUGAUUAUAAGUUUUGAACAUCUUUUGUUAAAUUUAAUCUUAAAUAUUUUAUUCAUUUUGAUACUAUUGUGAAUUAAAUUGUUUUUCUAAUUUCAUUUUCAGAUUGUGUCUUUCAGAUGUAUAGAAAUACAAUAGAUAAAUAAUUCUGGCCAUUAACCUUUUAUGCUUCAACCUUGCUGAACACUUUUUUUUUCUUUUCUUUUUUUUUUUUUUUUUUUGAGACAGGGUUUCACUCUUAUUGCCCAGGCUGGAGUGCAACGGCACAAUCUCAGCUCACCACAACCUCCGCCUGCUGGGUUCAAGCAAUUCUUCUGCCUCAGCCUGACAAGUAGCUGAGAUUACAGGCAUGCGCCACCACACCUAAUUUUGUAUUUUUAGUAGAGACAAGUUUUCUCCAUGUUGGUCAGGCUGGUGUCGAACUCCUGACCUCAGGUAAUCCGCCUGCCUGGGCCUUUCAAAGUGCUGGGAUUAUAAGCCACAUUUUUAAUUCUUAGUUUUUCAGUAGAUUCUUGAAAUUCUUAAUAUAGAAGAUUAUGUAUUUUUGGUUUCUCUAUUCCUCCUUUACUGGUUUAUUU
rnacentral:lncRNA from 1 species